AAAGUAGCUUCCUUGCAUCAUGAGACUUAAGUUCAGCGAUUCACCAUUGAAAUGUUACAUUCUGCGUUCAAUCAGUUACUUACGUUAUCCAAGCCGAAACUCUGCAGGUCAUGAACUGGGGGAAGAAGAAAAAAAAUCGCAUAUCAAAAUGAAUGACUUGGGACCCUAUUUUGAAGAGUUCAACCAGUGGACAACUUGGAAUCUGUGUGAUGACUUAGCGGUGGGGUGCACAUGCGGUGGGGAUGCAAGCUUCUCUUUUCUUGCAGUGGCCCAGCAAGAGGAAAAAUGGUUGGAGAGGCCACUAGCUAGCAUCAUAAUAGGAUUUCACAGACAGACUUGCCAUUGCAAAAUCUCCAACUUCACAAAGACAUUUGCACUGCUGUUGCUCUCGUGCGCUUUCAUUAGUCUUACAUUUUUGACUUGCAUUUCAGUUCAGCAUUCACAUGCAAUGUCUAAUUAGAAUCCAUGUUAUAGUUCUCAUGAAAAGUGUCCAAAUUUAGAUAUUUAUAAAUUGAACAGAAAA